CUUACAAAAGACUGUACAUGCUGCCUGAGAUUCCUAAUAUAAAAUGAAUUCAUGAAGAAUUGAAUGGUGCUUGCUAUGUGCCUGACUGAUGAAAAUAAAUCAGCUUGCUUCAAGUAUGCCUAUUCUUCAAGUAUGCCUAUUCUCCCCUCUUUAGAGAACAGAUCAUUCUGAUCUUUCUCUAAACCUUAUUUAAUCCAAAAACAGAUUCUGGGUAUUAAAAAAAGAAUCUCAUAACCACUGAAGCGCUGGGCUGUCAUGUGUUGUGUGGUGAGAUUUGUCAGCUGAGUGACCUGGUGACUGGCAUGAAGUAUUGUAGGAUGCCCUAGUGUGAUAGUAGUAGCAGUUUCAACAGCCAUUGCACAUGCUAUCAAUGCUCUGAGACACGCCGGCAUACCCUGUACCGGAGCUUGAACUACUUUGGAAAAGAAUGCUAUGGGACGCAUACCGCCUCCUUGCUCUUGUGCACAGACCGCGGCCAUGGUUUUACAAUUGUCCCAAGCAUACAAAUGAAAUGGUUUACAAUACACAGGUAGUCCUAAAGCCUGGGCUUGCACAAUAACAACUGUAAGGGCAAUAUAUGCAGCUAGCAUGUCUGGUGACCAGCAGACAUUUUCAGGGCUGUCAGAACGUACAGCCUCCCUUAGGAUUGAGUUAUAAUGGGAGCAUUCAGGGAUCCAUUGGCGGCAGUAAUUAAUCAUGCCGAGGAAGGUGAGCAACUCCUUCUGAAUAGUGGGUGUAGGAAUCCUCUGAAUGACCUCAAUACAUUUUGGACUCAAUUGUCUGGUGCCUAAAGCCAGAACAAAACCUAAGUAUUCAACCUUUGAUUUACACAAUUGCAUUUUGUGUUUAACAACCUUGUGACCUACAGUUGCUGACAGUAUCCACAGUGCUUGCCUCAUAGCUAGGGCUACAUAACAACAAAUCAUCAACAUUUUGCAAAAAGGACGGAACCAUGACCGGUGGUCCAUGUUUUUUAGAGUAUGUUGGAGUACCAACGAAUAAACAGCUGGGGAAUCCACAUAGCCUUGGGUAAGCGUGUCCAGGUAAACUGGCAGCCUUCAAAAAAUAAAAACCAUAAGUAGCUGUGUCUCUUGAUCAAUAGGUAUAGAAAAAAUGCAUUACUUAAAUCAAUGACAGUGAAGCAAGUGGCAUCAUGUGGAAUGGCUGUAACGAGGGAUGUCAUAUCAGGGACAAUGGGUGAAAUGGGCACAAUUAAACUAUUCAGGGCUCUAAAGUCCUGAACUAAGCGAUAUGCUGGCCAGUGGUGUUGGGAGUGGGUCUGGUGUUGUUCUUGCCUACCGGGCAUAUUUUGAGAAAGGUGGGGUUGUUGGGGUGUGUGGGGUUUCCUGGGGUUUCCUGGGGUGUGGACACUCAUUCCUCCAGUGGCCAUAUUGGCCACAGUUGAAACAAGUGUUCCUGUCUAUUCCUCCUUGGUUACCCCUGCCCUUAUAACCCUGAUUUCCCUGUCUCCAUCCCCUUGCUCCUCUUUGACCACCCCUUCCGCGGGCUUUAUGUGCUCCAUCCCAUCCUCGCUCUCAGCCUGUGUAGCUGGACAUAAUAUGUUGCAAUCCCUGAGCAUAAUAAGCAACCUUACUUUCCUAAAUCUUUUCUUAAUUCAAAACAACCUGCAUUUUCCUUUUCUAUAACCUUGGUAAGAAAAUCUGAGCUAUCCAAAUUGGCCCAGUCUGAAAUCAAUUGUUUCACAAGCAAAUAAUACUGUGGCAACAUAUUACCAAGGCAUGACUGUAUUUUAAAGAUAUCUAUAUCAUCUCCAGACAUCAAACCUGCCUCAUCCUUCCAACACUUGUAAAAUUUCUUUACAAAAAUCAUAUUACCAAUCUCUUCCUUUGCAUCUUGCUUAUAUGCCAAAGCAGUGAAUAUAGACUACCUAUUC
rnacentral:lncRNA from 1 species